rfam:Dechloromonas aromatica RCB, complete genome.
UUUUGAAACUCUGGAGAGCGGCGUUAACAGCGCCCACCGAUGGGGCAAAUCUCUCAGGUAUCGAGGACAGAGGGGUGAAA